rnacentral:rRNA from 1 species
AUUGAACGCUGGCGGCAGGCCUAACACAUGCAAGUCGAGCGGAGCGGCGGACGGGGGCGGAAUGCCUAGGAAUCUGCCUGGUAGUGGGGGAUAACGUCCGGAAACGGGCGCUAAUACCGCAUCCCAUCAGAUGUGCACAGAUGGGCUUAGCUAGGGGGGGGGGGAACGGCUCACCUAGGCGAAGAUCCCUAGCUGGUCUGAGAGGAUGACCAGCCACACUGGAACUGAGACACGGUCCAGACUCCUACGGGAGGCAGCAGUGGGGAAUAUUGCACAAUGGGCGCAAGCCUGAUGCAGCCAUGCCGCGUGUGUGAAGAAGGCCUUCGGGUUGUAAAGCACUUUCAGCGGGGAGGCGUUACCCGCAGAAGAAGCACCGGCUAACUCCGUGCCAGCAGCCGCGGUAAUAC